AUCGUCUCCGUAAAAAUAAUUCUCCCAUGUUUGAUUUCAGUUCUCGUAUUUAUAAUAGGUGGUAAGAGAUAUUUUGAGGGAUUCGAAAUUCGAAUUUGAAUUUUUAAUAGAUUGUUGGAUAGUUGGAGGAUUUUUGGGAAUUGGUUAGGGAUUCGAAAUUCGAAAUUGAAUUUUGAAUGGAUUGUUGGAUGGUUAGGUAUUCAAAAUUCGAAUGAGAGAUACUUUGGGCGUUGUUUCGAAAUUCGAAAUCGAAUUUCGAAUCAAAUUUGAAUAUGGUAUUCGAGAUUGAAUUUUUAAAUGUGGAUGAAAAUGUGAGCCGUUAUUUCAUGAAUUGGGCUGAAAUUGGGCCGACUUUGAUGAAACUUGUUGGGCACGAAUAUUCAUUGGGCUAAGAUGAUGCCCGAAUUUUUGUAU
rnacentral:lncRNA from 1 species